ensembl:ncRNA lncRNA:CR46208 long non-coding RNA:CR46208
UAAUGGAACUUUGUAAAGCGAAAGAAACUGAACAGAGACCUCUUUACACCCGUCUGUGUUUGUUGGCCAACACGUGUCAAGGAUUAGGGGUUGGCCUGUGGCUGGACUGCUGCUGCCUUGGGUCUGCUUCAUUAGCGUGUGUCCAUCGGGAUUUGAAACCAGACCCACAUAAUUUGCCCCAACUUUAACCCUUCAAUGGGCCAGUACAUGGGGGGAGUGGCGGGCCAGUCAAGCGUUUUAUCGGCUCGGACCAGCAGUCACUAAAAAGGCUUAAGGGCUGCACAGACCGCAGCUGCCAAUGAUGCAUCGUCAUGGAGCCAGCCAGUCAGCCAGCCACCUUGCUCUCCUCCCAGCUGCAGUCCGGAGGCUCCAAUCCUGACUGGCAUGCGUUCGCAUGGUUCACUGGCAUAUCCGUUUUCGAUGCACUCGGAAAAAUGCAUUACAAGUCAUUGAAACUAGUUCUUAUUAGUAAAUAUAUGCGUAUACACAGAGGACAUCGGGAGCCGCCGACGAGAUGGAGCAGUGGCAAGAGGUGGGGAAAAGCCAUUAAUGGCCCAAGAGGCGCCUCACUUCUGGGCCAAUCAUGUGUGGCUAAGUCCUAGGUGACACCAGCAGCUAAUAGAACAAUGCGAAGCCUAUGAAAUGGACUGGAGACAGGGAUUUACAGGGAUGGAGGCAAACUCGUGGCACGAAUGCCACAUGGCCAUGCUCCGGGCAUUACUCGUUUUGUCCAGACUCAAUUGAGCCCGAAUCAAUCAGCCAUCAACCAUGAGCCAACGAUGAGCCGGUGAACAUGCGUCGCCCUUUCGGCACUCGGAGCUCGACAUCAAUUAGGAAAUGCAAUUUCAGGUUUCGAUGACUGUUCGUGUGUGUGUGCGGGCCAAGGAUUUCGGUGGUCCUCGCUGGACCCUGAACUGGCAAUAAAUUUAAACAAAACCAAUUUUGUGUCGCAAAAAGUUUGUCACCC